GAUGAACGCUGGCGGCGUGCCUAACACAUGCAAGUCGAACGAAGACUGCGCGGCGGAACUCUCCGGAGGGAAGAUGCGCAGGACUGAGUGGCGGACGGGUGAGUAACGCGUGGGUAACCUGCCCUGUACAGGGGGACAACAGCUGGAAACGGCUGCUAAUACCGCAUAAGCCUACAGUGCCGCAUGGUACAGCAGGAAAAACUCCGGUGGUACAGGAUGGGCCCGCGUCUGAUUAGUUAGUUGGCAGGGUAACGGCCUACCAAGACAACGAUCAGUAGCCGGCUUGAGAGAGUGGACGGCCACAUUGGGACUGAGACACGGCCCAA
rnacentral:rRNA from 1 species